ACAGGAAUUAUUGCCAUCACACUGGCGUUUUACAUAUGUCACGAAGUUCACCUAGCUGGUUUUAAAUACAACUUUUCUGACCUCAAGAGUCCUUUGCACUACUAUGGGAAUGCCACCAUGUCUUUGAUGAAUAAGAACGCGUAUCACAAUGUGACUGCAGAGCAGCUCUUUUUGAAGGACAUUAUAGAAAAAAACCUUGUAAUCAACUUGACUCAAGAUUGACUCUACAGACUCAGAAGAUGAUGCUAACAGUGAAUUACAAGAGAUUUUGCAGAAGGGUAAAAAUGGUGAGAACUGAAGAGUAAUGCCAUUGUUCUAACAGUGUCGCGGAGUUCACCUGGGCCUGAGAAUGACUCUUUUUUCACUACUGCCCCCUGUAGGGGAGGGACAUCCCUCUGAUAGAAAUGAGAUGCAAAGACCAUGUGAGUUACCUGCCCGGUCCCAGUAAGAAGAAAUCAACAUCUCAUGGAAGAAGUUUCAGUGUACACUCCUGCCUUUAGUCCAACAUACAAACCAUUACAAGAGGAUGCAAUUUAUCCCUGUUUUCUUUUUUAUAGUAUGAAAGAGAGAAUUCACACACACUAAAUCUUUCUAAAGGUAUAACAUGGUAAAGGAAUGAAAGGGUCUGCAUAAAAUAAUCUAGAAAAAAAAAAAAA
rnacentral:sRNA from 1 species